CAGCAGAGCCUGUGCAUGAGAAAGCUUCUGUGCUGGAUAUUGGGGAUGAUGAAAAUCCAGAGCUGCCCAGCUCUCCUCUGGCUGAGACAACGAGGGCUGAUCCCUUGGUCAUCGCGGUGAUCUCUGUCUUCAUUGUCAUGGUGGGCAUCCUAGGCCUGGUGGGCUUCCUGAGGUACCGCCAGCACAACAGCCGCAUGGAGUUUCGGCGCCUGCAGGACCUGCCUAUGGACGACAUGAUGGAGGACACCCCCCUCUCGCUCUACAGCUACUAGGCAGCCCGGCUGCCUCCCGCCCGGCACGCUGAACUUCCCAGAGAAAAAGGCCUCGAGGACUUGGUUCCAGACGAGCUGCUGAGGAACGAGUGGCUGUGAUUUGCACACGACUGAAAGAU